UCAGCGCUAUAUAAACGGGUUGCUCAGUACACAUUAUUCAUCCAGUUCAUAAAUUGUUGUGAUUGCUAUAUUGACUAUCUACGGAAUCCUCAGAUUUAAGCAAUAAAUCGUCUGCAGAUCCAUAGUGAUAAUUCAUAUUCAUAUACACAGAAAGCAACUGAAGAAUUAAACAUGUGCAACGGCGAAAAGGGAGUAGCGGCGGCGAUGGCAGAGCGGCGUGGUCAGGGGACCAGCAGCGUUCCUAUUCACUUCCUGUUACGUCACUUCGGUGGCGUCUGUUGGAGUUAGGGAGCCAGACUGGAUUACACUAGGGUUUACCCUAGCAACCGAUGACAACAACUAUCAUCCACAGAAACCGAGUCAU